rnacentral:rRNA from 1 species
GACGAACGCUGGCGGCGUGGAUUAGGCAUGCAAGUCGAACGGUAUCAUCCUUUCGGGGGUGAGAGAGUGGCGAACUGGUGAGUAACACGUAGGUUAUCUACCCUCAAGACGGGGACAACCCAGGGAAACUUGGGCUAAUACCGGAUGUGAGCAACUUUUAGUUGUUUGAAAGGUGGCGUAAGCUGUCGCUUGGGGAUGAGCCUGCGUCCUAUUAGUUAGUUGGUGAGGUAACGGCUCACCUAGGCAAUGAUAGGUAGGCGGCCUUAACGGGUGGUCGCCCACACUGGGAUUGAGAUACGGCCCAGACUCCUACGGGAGGCAGCAGUCGAGAAUAGUCUACAAUGGUCGGAAGACUGAUAGUGCGACGCCGCGUGAACGAUGAAUCCCUUCGGGGUGUAAAGUUCUUUUAUAUGUGAGCAGUGCUUCUUAUAUUAACAGUAUGGGGAGAGAGAUAUUAGCAUAUGAAUAAGCAACGGCUAACUCCGUG